GACGAACGCUGGCGGCGUGCCUAAUACAUGCAAGUCGAACGCAGUGGGGACGGGUGAGUAACACGUGGGUAACCUCCCAUCAGAGGGGAUAACACUUGGAAACAGGUGCUAAACCGAUACUGAUGGAUGGACCCGCGGUGCAUUAGCUAGUUGGUGAGGUAACGGCUCACCAAGGCCACGAUGCAUAGCCGAACAGGGAUGGUGGACGGCCACAACGGGAAUGAGACAGGGACCAGACUCCUACGGGAGGCAGCAGUAGGGAAUCUUCGGGAAUGGACGAAAGUCUGACCGAGCAACCGCGCGUUAGGGAAGAAGGUUUUCGGGUCGGAAAACUCUGUUGUUAGAGAAGCGGUAUCUAACCAGAAAGCCACGGCUAACUACGUGCCAGCAGCCGCAGUAAUAC
rnacentral:rRNA from 1 species